UUGGAACAUGUUGCUUCACAUGAGAAGAGUUUCUACACUUGGUAUAGAAACAUGCUUUAUAAUAAUAUUGAGUGUUCUUUCAUAGGUUUUUGCAUCAGAACUACCACUUAACUCCUAAUAUAGAUUACAGUUUUUUUAAGAUUAAAGUUGCGAUACCCGUGUAUCAAUAAUGAGCCUCCGAAAUUCCAAGCUACAGCAUUGACACAGCCAAGGUGACCCUGCUCAAAUCAUAUCAAGCAGAUACUCAGUAAAAAUAUAACAAUGAAUGGGAAAAAAAAAUGUGAAGAUAGAUAGCAUCAACAAUUUUCGAUACUCGUAAUCUUACGGUAGAAUGCACAAUCAGGUACUCUUCAUAUGUGAUUAUUGCAUAGACAUUAAGGAUUGAACACUAUUAACAAUUAUCAAGUAACAACAAUAUAUUUUAUAAUCUAAAUUAUAAAAAAACUCACUUCAUAAAAACUAAUAAAAGAUUAAGGGUAGAGGAGUAGUUUUGUUUACAACAAUAACUUGCUAAACAAGAAAUCAGUGAAAGAGCAUUCUAUUGAAUGAAUAUUACUUCAAAUCAUCUCAAUUACAAUUAAAUGAGAGUGUGUAAUACUAAAAAGACUUUAAUAUAUACUAGCUGUCAAAGGUGUAAAACAGUUAUGUAAGCUAUCAAAUUCUAUUACAUUAGUCAUAACUAGCUCUACUUGAACUAUUCUCUACUUUCAUUCUCAAUUUUGGAGUUGACUUCUACCUUAAUACCCCCUCAAGCUCAAAUUGGGUUUAGAAAUAAUUCAAAACUUGAGUUGUAUCUUGAGUUGUAAUGUAAUUAGAUGCUAAAGAAUCAAUUAUACUUUUGAUAUUUGUAAUGUAAUCAGAUGCUAUUAAUUCAUGCUUCUUAAUCGUUUUGAUUCGUACCUUGAGUUGCUUCACUCGAUAUUUAGUUAAUUCUGCAAAAUAUUCCUCUAUCUUACUAUAGAUUUCAUUACUAAAGAAAAUGCCUACUAUUUUGUUCUUCAAAUAUGAGUCCAUAGAUGUCAAGAACCAUGAUUGCAAAUUAUAAUCAUCAUGUAGCCAUUAUUUGUAGUAUUGAGAUUCCUAAACAUUGAGUCAAUUUUAAAGACUCAAGAAUAUUAAGGAAAAACCCAUUUUUAUAGAGAUGAUCUUCCAAAUCUUGAUCUCGAAUGAAUUCAAUUGCUUGUUGUUGCCAUAUUUUAUGGUUUUAUUCAUCAAGUUUGUUAGUAAUUAGAUUGAAAGAACUGAGAGUUGAAGAAUUAUGGUGGAAAAAAAAGUUGUUCAAAAUAAUAACAUUUUAAUUUACUUUUAAAUUUUUAGAGUUGUCAAAAUUCGUAAAAUUAUCAAAAUUUGUAUAUUCUAUAAAAUUAUUUAUAAUUGAAAUAACCGUGAAUUUUUGAUACCAUUUAAAGGUUCUAUAUAUUAGAACAUUAGAAAUGAAGAAAAAAGAAAAAGAACAAAAAAAAAUAGAGAUAAUUUUAUUUACAAUAGUAACUUGCUAAACAAAAAAUCAAUGAAAGAGCAUUCUAUUGAAUGAAUAUUACUUCAAAUCAUCUCAAUUACAAUUAAAUGAGAGUGUGUAACACCAAAAAAAUUCUACCCCAAAAUAUAUAUUAGCUGUCAAAAGUAUAAAGCAGUUAUGCAAGUCAUCAAAUUCUGUUAUACUAAGAUAACUAACUCUAAACUAUUUUUUAUUCUUAUUUUCAAUCUUGGAGCUGAUUUCUGGCUUAAUAGUUUUAUUGUUAACAAAAAUAAAUCCCUAAUCUCUUCAAUGUUUGAUAGUGAUAUAAUUUAUUACCUUUUAUAUAUAUAAAUAGUUUUGAUUUAUAAAAGUAAUUUCUUAUUCUAAUUGACCAUAUGUUUUUAUAAUAUCGUAUUUGCAAUAAUAAAAAUUUAAAUAAUAUCACAUAUUAAAAUUUAAAUAUUUAAUUUGAUAACAACUUCAACCAAUUUCAUCUGAUUUGGUCUGAAUUUCUUCAUUCACUACUUGAGGUUUUCGCCUUUUUAAAUAAUUCUAGCUUAUAUUUAAUAAAAAAAGUACGAUCAAGCAAGAAAGAAAAUAAUAAUAAUAACAACAAUAAAAAAAAAAGUGAUGAUUAAGAGUGUGAAAGUUAGUUACAGUGAGACGAGGGGGGACUUUGAAGGAACAAGAAACGAGACCGGAUUGGACUCGGUCAACGCAGAUGCCUCAGAGGAUGAAGUGUUCGUAUAGAUUGGAGUCGCGAUGAGGCUUCUGAUUCUUGUUGGCUUAGCUGGUGCAGCAGCAUCGAUUCAACUCCCUUCUCCGCCUCUUAUUCGCACCUCUUUUCCGCGGGUUUUAAGAGAAUUAAAAGGGAAAAAGGGUUUUUACUCU
rnacentral:lncRNA from 1 species